GACGAACGCUGGCGGCGUGCUUAACACAUGCAAGUCGAACGGUAAACCUCUUCGGAGGGGAUCAGUGGCGAACGGGUGAGUAACACGUGGGCAACCUGCCCCCGGCUCUGGGAUAACUCCAAGAAAUUGGGGCUAAUACCGGAUGUUCACCGCUUCCCGCAUGGGUGGUGGUGGAAAGGGUUUCCGGCUGGGGAUGGGCCCGCGGCCUAUCAGCUUGUUGGUGGGGUAGUGGCCUACCAAGGCGACGACGGGUAGCCGGCCUGAGAGGGUGACCGGCCACACUGGGACUGAGACACGGCCCAGACUCCUACGGGAGGCAGCAGUGGGGAAUAUUGCGCAAUGGGCGGAAGCCUGACGCAGCGACGCCGCGUGGGGGAUGACGGCCUUCGGGUUGUAAACCUCUUUCAGCAGGGACGAAGCGCAAGUGACGGUACCUGCAGAAGAAGCACCGGCCAACUACGUG
rnacentral:rRNA from 1 species